UACGUAGGGUGCAAGCGUUGUCCGGAAUUAUUGGGCGUAAAGGGCGCGUAGGCGGCUGGAUAAGUCUUGUGUGAAAUCUUCGGGCUCAACUCGAAGUCUGCACAGGAAACUAUCCGGCUUGAGUGUGGGAGAGGUGAGUGGAAUUCCCGGUGUAGCGGUGAAAUGCGUAGAGACCCGGAGGAACACCAGUGGCGAAGGCGGCUUCCUGGUCUGCAACUGACGCUGUGGCGCGAAAGCUAGGGGAGCAAACGGG
rnacentral:rRNA from 1 species